UGGUUCUGGCAUCGAUGAAGAACGCAGCGAAAUGCGAUAAGUAAUGUGAAUUGCAGAAUUCAGUGAAUCAUCGAAUCUUUGAACGCACAUUGCGCCCAUUAGUAUUCUAGUGGGCAUGCCUGUUCGAGCGUCAUUUCAACCCUUAAGCCUAGCUUAGCGUUGGGAAUCUACUGUCCGGGUGCAGCUACCCUGUAGCUGCCUACCCUGUAGUUCCUCAAAAUCAACGGCGGAACAGUGGUAUCCUCUGAGCGUAGUAAACUUUUAUCUCGCUUUUGUUAGGUGCUGCUGCUUCGGCCGCUAAACCCCCCAAAUUUUAAUGGUUGACCUCGGAUCAGGUAGGAAUACCCGCUGA
rnacentral:misc_RNA from 1 species